CUCGGCUCGGCUCGGCUCGGCUCGGCUCGGCUCGGCUCGGCUUCCCGGGUCUGCUGGCGCGGCGCUGGGAGGCACUGCGGCCGUCUGUGAGGGAGGGCAGCGGUGAGGCAGCUGGGUUUAUGGCCCAGAUUUCCAGGAGAGAUGGUCAUAGCUGUGUGUCUGUGUGUCUGUGUGUGUGUGUGUGUCGACCAAGGGAAGAGCCUUACAUAUGGUUCUUGUAUAUCGGCGUGCAAGCCCGGAAAGUACUAGGAACAACUUACUUAACGUGUAGCUGGAGAUGAAGUGGGUACUCUGAGCCUGGCGGCAGACUGGAUGUAGCCUUUGUCAGAAUAGCAGUAUUUCAGUCUGAAAGCACAGCAUUUCUGUGACCAGCUGCUUGUGUUUCUGCUGCAUUGGCCCACAGCGAUUCAGACAACACAGAGCAACACAGAAGUGUACUGCAGUUCAUCAUUUAAGGUAGAGAAACUU
rnacentral:lncRNA from 1 species